rnacentral:misc_RNA from 1 species
GAUGAAGAACGUAGCGAAAUGCGAUAAGUAAUGUGAAUUGCAGAAUUCAGUGAAUCAUCGAAUCUUUGAACGCACAUUGCGCCCGCCAGUAUUCUGGCGGGCAUGCCUGUUCGAGCGUCAUUACAACCCUCAGGCCCCCGGGCCUGGCGUUGGGGAUCGGCGGAGCCCCCCGUGGGCACACGCCGUCCCCCAAAUGCAGUGGCGGUCCCGCCGCAGCUUCCAUCGCGUAGUAGCUAACACCUCGCGACUGGAGAGCGGCGCGGCCACGCCGUAAAACACCCAACUCUUCUGAAGUUGACCUCGAAUCAGGUAGGAAUACCCGCUGAACUUAAGCAUAUCAAUACGGAGGA